rnacentral:rRNA from 1 species
GAACGAGGAUAUAUCCUUCGGGGUAUAAGCCGAGUGGCGCAAGGGUGAGUAAUGCAUAGAUUACCUGCCUCUAGGAUAAGGACAACUUUGUGAAAACGAAGCUAAUACUUAAUAAUACAAAAGAAAAUAAUUUUCUUUUGUCAAUGGGAGGGUAGCAAUACCUUUUGCCUAGAGAGGGGUUUAUGUCCUAUCAGCUUGUUGGUGGGGUAAUGGCCUACCAAGGCGAAGACGGGUAGCCGGUCUUAGAGGAUGGUCGGCCACACUGGGACUGAGACACUGCCCAGACUUCUACGGAAGGCUGCAGUCGAGAAUCUUUCGCAAUGCCCGAAAGGGUGACGAAGCGACGCCGCGUGAGUGAGGAAGGCCUUAGGGUUGUAAAGCUCUGUCAGGAGUUAAGAAAUAUAAGUGUGUUAAUACCACAUUUAUUUGACGAAGGCUCCAAAGGAAGCCACGGCUAACUCUGUGCCAGCAGCCGCGGUAAUACAGAGGUGGCAAGCGUUGUUCGGAAUUAUUGGGCGUAAAGAGCACGUAGGUGGGUUUGUAAGUCAGAUGUGAAAGCCUUCUGUUCAACGGAAGAAUUGCAUCUGAAACUGCAAAUCUUGAGUGUAGGAGGGGAGAAUGGAACUUCUGGUGGAGCGGUGAAAUGCGUAGAUAUCAGAAGGAACGCCGGCGGCGAAAGCGAUUCUCUGGCCUAUUACCGACACUCAGUGUGCGAAAGCUAGGGGAGCAAACGGGAUUAGAUACCCCGGUAGUCCUAGCCGUAAACGAUGGGCACUAAGUAGAGGGGAUUACCGAUGUUCUCUCUGCCGUAGCUAACGCAUUAAGUGCCCCGCCUGGGGAGUACGGCCGCAAGGCUAAAACUCAAAAGAAUUGACGGGGGCUCGCACAAGCGGUGGAGCAUGUGGCUUAAUUCGAUGCAACGCGAAAAACCUUACCGGGGCUUGACAUGGUAGAAGUAGGAACCCGAAAGGGUAACGAACGGUAUCCAGUCCGUAGCUAUCACAGGUGUUGCAUGGCUGUCGUCAGCUCGUGUCGUGAGACGUUGGGUUAAGUCCCCUAACGAGCGAAACCCUUGUUUUUAGUUACCAGCGGGUUAUGCCGGGUACUCUAGAAAGACUGCCGUCGUCAAGACGGAGGAAGGUGGGGAUGACGUCAAGUCAUCAUGGCCCUUAUGCCCCGGGCUGCACACGUGCUACAAUGGUCGGUACAAACGGAAGCGAAGCCGAGAGGUGAAGCGAAUCCUAAAAAGCCGAUCUCAGUUCGGAUUGGAGGCUGAAAUUCGCCUCCAUGAAGUUGGAAUCGCUAGUAAUCGCGGAUCAGCAAUGCCGCGGUGAAUAUGUUCCCGAGCCUUGUACACACCGCCCGUCAAGCCACCCAAGCAGGAUGCACCCGAAAACAUUAUAUCUAACCAGGGCAACUUGGAGGAAAGUGUUGAAGGAGUGUUUUGUGA